GUGCUAAAACUGGGGAGCUAGUGGGCACCAUGAAGAUCUUCUGCAGUCGGGCCAAUCCGACCACGGGGUCUGUGGAGUGGCUGGAGGAGGAUGAACACUAUGAUUACCACCAGGAGAUUGCAAGGUCAUCUUAUGCAGAUAUGCUACAUGACAAAGACAGAAAUGUAAAAUACUACCAAGGUAUCCGGGUUGCCGUGAGCAGGGUGAAGGACAGAGGACAGAAGGCCUUGGUUCUCGACAUUGGCACUGGCACGGGACUCUUGUCAAUGAUGGCGGUCACAGCAGGUGCCGACUUCUGCUAUGCCAUCGAGGUAAGCCAUUCCCUUCAGGUGUGUGUCCUGCAU
rnacentral:sRNA from 1 species